CCUACGGGGCGCAGCAGUAGGGAAUCUUCCACAAUGGACGAAAGUCUGAUGGAGCAACGCCGCGUGAGUGAAGAAGGGUUUCGGCUCGUAAAGCUCUGUUGGUAGUGAAGAAAGAUAGAGGUAGUAACUGGCCCUUAUUUGACGGUAAUUACUUAGAAAGUCACGGCUAACUACGUGCCAGCAGCCGCGGUAAUACGUAGGUGGCAAGCGUUGUCCGGAUUUAUUGGGCGUAAAGCGAGUGCAGGCGGUCUUUUAAGUCUGAUGUGAAAGCCUUCCGCUUAACCG
rnacentral:rRNA from 1 species